rnacentral:rRNA from 1 species
CGAGCGUGACGGCGCGAGCAGGUGCGAAAGCAGGUCAUAGUGAUCCGGUGGUUCUGAAUGGAAGGGCCAUCGCUCAACGGAUAAAAGGUACUCCGGGGAUAACAGGCUGAUACCGCCCAAGAGUUCAUAUCGACGGCGGUGUUUGGCACCUCGAUGUCGGCUCAUCACAUCCUGGGGCUGAAGUAGGUCCCAAGGGUAUGGCUGUUCGCCAUUUAAAGUGGUACGCGAGCUGGGUUUAGAACGUCGUGAGACAGUUCGGUCCCUAUCUGCCGUGGGCGCUGGAGAACUGAGGGGGGCUGCUCCUAGUACGAGAGGACCGGAGUGGACGCAUCACUGGUGUUCGGGUUGUCAUGCCAAUGGCACUGCCCGGUAGCUAAAUGCGGAAGAGAUAAGUGCUGAAAGCAUCUAAGCACGAAACUUGCCCCGAGAUGAGUUCUCCCUGACUCCUUGAGAGUCCUGAAGGAACGUUGAAGACGACGACGUUGAUAGGCCGGGUGUGUAAGCGCAGCGAUGCGUUGAGCUAACCGGUACUAAUGAACCGUGAGGCUUAACCUU